rnacentral:rRNA from 1 species
CAGUCGCCACGGGAAUACGAAUGGGGCUAGCGUUGUUCGGAAUUACUGGGCGUAAAGCGCACGUAGGCGGAUAUUUAAGUCAGGGGUGAAAUCCCGCAGCUCAACUGCGGAACUGCCUUUGAUACUGGGUAUCUUGAGUAUGGAAGAGGUUAGUGGAAUUGCGAGUGUAGAGGUGAAAUUCGUAGAUAUUCGCAGGAACACCAGUGGCGAAGGCGGCUAACUGGUCCAUAACUGACGCUGAGGUGCGAAAGCGUGGGGAGCAAACAGGAUUAGAUACCCCCGUAGUCCCUGUCUCUUAUAC